rnacentral:rRNA from 1 species
UGGGGAAUAUUGGACAAUGGGCGAAAGCCUGAUCCAGCCAUGCCGCGUGUGUGAAGAAGGUCUUCGGAUUGUAAAGCACUUUAAGUUGGGAGGAAGGGCAUUAACCUAAUACGUUAGUGUUUUGACGUUACCGACAGAAUAAGCACCGGCUAACUCUGUGCCAGCAGCCGCGGUAAUACAGAGGGUGCAAGCGUUAAUCGGAAUUACUGGGCGUAAAGCGCGCGUAGGUGGUUUGUUAAGUUGGAUGUGAAAUCCCCUGGCUCAACCUGGGAACUGCAUUCAAAACUGACUGACUAGAGUAUGGUAGAGGGUGGUUGAAUUUCCUGUGUAGCGGUGAAAUGCGUAGAUAUAGGAAGGAACACCAGUGGCGAAGGCGACCACCUGGACUAAUACUGACACUGAGUUGCGAAAGCGUGGGGAGCAAACA